GAACGGGUGUACGGGAUGGAAGAUUUCGGUCGGAAGCCCCGUGCAUGAGUGGCGGACGGGUGAGUAACGCGUGGGCAACCUGCCCUGUACAGGGGGACAACACUUAGAAAUAGGUGCUAAUACCGCAUAACGGGGGGAGCCGCAUGGCUUUCCCCUGAAAACUCCGGUGGUACAGGAUGGGCCCGCGUCUGAUUAGCUGGUUGGCAGGGUAACGGCCUACCGAGGCGACGAUCAGUAGCCGGCCUGAGAGGGCGGACGGCCACACUGGGACUGAGACACGGCCCAGACUCCUACGGGAGGCAGCAGUGGGGGAUAUUGCACAAUGGGGGGAACCCUGAUGCAGCGACGCCGCGUGGGUGAAGGAGCGUUUCGGCGCGUAAAGCCCUAUCGGCAGGGAAGAAGGAGGACGGUACCUGACUAAGAAGCCCCGGCUAACUACGUGCCAGCAGCCGCGGUAAUACGUAGGGGGCAAGCGUUAUCCGGAUUUACUGGGUGUAAAGGGGGCGCAGACGGCAGCGCAAGCCAGGAGUGAAAGCCCGGGGCCCAACCCCGGGACUGCUCUUGGAACUGCGCGGCUGGAGUGCAGGAGGGGCAGGCGGAAUUCCUGGUGUAGCGGUGAAAUGCGUAGA
rnacentral:rRNA from 1 species